GAAAGUAAUAAAGGGCGUAUGGGGGAUGCCUAGGCUCUUGGAGGCGAAGAAAGACGUGGUAAGCUGCGAUAAGCCUCGGGGAUUUGCAAACGAGAAUUGAUCCGAGGAUUUCUGAAUGGGACAACCCGGCAGGCAGAAGGCCUGUCACACGAAAGUGGGCCAACCCUCUGAACUGAAACAUCUUAGUAGGAGGAGGAAAAGAAAGAAACAUCGAUUUCCUAAGUAGCGGCGAGCGAACGGGAAACAGCCUAAACCACAAUUGUUACGGCAACUGUGGGGUUGUAGGACUGCAAUAUUCAAAUGACUGUGAACUGGAAUGUUCUGGAAAGUUCAUCCAUAGAGAGUGAAAGACUCGUACAGGCAAGCACGUCAGGCGAUAGCAGUAUCCUGAGUAGGGCGGGACACGAGGAAUCCUGUCUGAAUCCGCCGGGACCACCCGGUAAGGCUAAAUACUCCCAAGAGACCGAUAGUGAACCAGUACCGUGAGGGAAAGGUGAAAAGAACCCCGAACAGGGGAGUGAAAUAGAACCUGAAACCAUACGCUUACAACCUGUCGGAGCGGCUUCGUGCCGUGACGGCGUGCCUAUUGAAUAAUGAGCCUACGAGUUACUAAUCACUGGCAAGGUUAAGUGCACGGAUGCACGGAGCCGAAGCGAAAGCGAGUCUGAAUAGGGCGUUUAGUCAGUGGUUGUAGACGCGAAACCUUGCGAUCUACCCUUGAGCAGGUUGAAGGUUGGGUAAAACCAACUGGAGGACCGAACGAAUAAGCGUUGAAAAGCUUCUCGAUGACUUGAGGGUAGGGGUGAAAGGCUAAUCAAGCUGGGAAAUAGCUCGUACUCCCCGAAAUGCCUUUAGGGGCAGCGUUGUAAUUAAGAGUCUACUGGAGGUAGAGCUACUGAUUGGAUGCGGGGGCUUCACCGCCUACCAAAUCCUGACAAACUCCGAAUGCCAGUAGUAUGAUUUACAGCAGUGAGCGACCGGGUGCUAAUGUCCGGUUACGAGAGUGGAACAACACAGACCAGCAACUAAGGUCCCCAAGAGUAUACUAAGUUGAUCUAACGAUGUUUUGCUGCAGAGACAGCUAGGAUGUUAGCUUGGAAGCAGCUAUUCAUUCAAAGAGUGCGUAACAGCUCACUAGUCGAGCGGCAAAGCGUGGAUAAUAAACGGGCAUCAAGUAUACCACCGAAGUUCUGGGCACGAAAGUGCGGUAGGGGAGCAUUCCAUUCCGCGUUGAAGCCGAACCGUGAGGUUUGGUGGAGUGUAUGGAAAAGCAAAUGUAGGCAUGAGUAACGAUAAUGCGGGAGAGUAACCCGCACACCGCAAGACCAAGGUUUCCUGAUCAACGCUAAUCGGAUCAGGGUUAGUCGGGUCCUAAGGGUAAGCCGAACGGUGAUCUCGAUGGAUAAUCGGUUAAUAUUCCGAUACUGACAUAUACCUCGAUGGAGAGACGAAGGAACGUAAGUGCCGCCACCUGACGGAAUAGGUGGUUAAAGGGCUUAGGUAUAGGGGCAGAUUAAGAGUUAGUCCUUGCUGAAACCUGACAGUACAGAGAGCCUACGGGCAAUUUGAUAGUGCACCCAAGUCGACUUCCGAGAAAAUCUUCUAAGUUAUAGUAUAUGUCACCCGUACCGUAAACCGACACAGGUGGUCGAGGAGAGUAUCCUAAGGUGCUCGAGUGAAUCACGGUUAAGGAACUAGGCAAAUUAACCCCGUAACUUCGGGAAAAGGGGUCCCAUCGCGAGGUGGGCGCAGCGAAGAGGUCCAGGCGACUGUUUAUCAAAAACACAGGGCUCUGCAAAUUCGAAAGAAGACGUAUAGGGCCUGACACCUGCCCGGUGCUGGAAGGUUAAGAGGGGAUGUCAUCGCAAGAGAAGCAUUGAAUCGAAGCCCCAGUAAACGGCGGCCGUAACUAUAACGGUCCUAAGGUAGCGAAAUUCCUUGUCGGGUAAGUUCCGACCUGCACGAAUGGUGUAACGAUCUGG
rnacentral:rRNA from 1 species